UACGAAGGGGGCUAGCGUUGCUCGGAAUCACUGGGCUUAAAGCGUGUGUAGGCGGACUUCUAAGUACCUUGUGAAAUCCCACGGCUCACCCGUGGAACUGCUUGGUAUACUGGUUGUCUUGAGCCACUUAGGGGCUACCGGAACAAAUGGUGGAGCGGUGAAAUGCGUAGAUAUCAUUUGGAACGCCAAUGGUGAAAACAGGUAGCUGGGAGUGUGCUGACGCUGAGACACGAAAGCCAGGGGAGCGAACGGG
rnacentral:rRNA from 1 species